rnacentral:tRNA from 1 species
GAGGGUAUAGCUCAGUGGGCAGAGCGCAUGCUUAGCAGGCAGGAGGUCCUGGGUUGGAUCCCCAGUAUCUACA